UACGGAGGGGACUAGCGUUGUUCGGAAUUACUGGGCGUAAAGCGCACGUAGGCGGAUUUGUAAGUCAGGGGUGAAAUCCCGGGGCUCAACCUCGGAACUGCCUUUGAUACUGCAAAUCUCGAGUCCGGAAGAGGUGGAGUGGAAUUCCUAGUGUAGAGGUGAAAUUCGUAGAUAUUAGGAAGAACACCAGUGGCGAAGGCGGCUCACUGGUCCGGUACUGACGCUGAGGUGCGAAAGCGUGGGGAGCAAACAGGG
rnacentral:rRNA from 1 species